rnacentral:rRNA from 1 species
AUGGCGGAGACGGCCAUCACGGCCGUGCUCUCAAAACUUGGAGAGUUCGCGACCAAGGAGGCCGCGCUACUGCUUAAGGUGGGCGACGACAUCAUGCUGCUGCGCGACCGGCUCGAGUGGCUCCAGGCCUUCAUCCGCGACGCCGAUCGAAAACGCCGGGUCGGCGCCGACGAGUUGACCCGCGUGUGGGUGCGCCAGACGCGCGACGUCGCCUUCGAAGCCGAGGACGCGCUCGACGACUUCUUCCACAAGGUGGACCUAGCGAACCAGAAUUAUGGAGGUUGGAAGCUGGUGCUUAGAUACAUGACUAGCUGCAGGACCCAGAUCACCGUUCGACAUGGUCUGUCUGGUCAAAUCAACAGAAUCAAGACCAGACUAGAUCAAAUCUCAGAGAACCAAAAGGAAUACAAGAUCGACCAUUCUCCAUCAGGAAUAUGGACGUCUUCCACCACAGCCCUUGCACCGUGGGAUGGCCUAAAGAAAGUUGUGGGGCGUGAGCAAGAUGCAAAGACUGUACGUGAACUGCUGCUUCAUGAAGAGCAUCGCGAGCAAAUGUUCAUCUCCAUGUUAGGGGAGAGUGGUAUUGGAAAAAGGACACUAACAAUGCAAAUCUACAAGGACUUGAUGAGGAAUUUUGAAGUUUUCGUGUGGUACAACAUGCCACCGGAUUCCAGCAUGGAAGAUCUCCUAGAAGAAGUAUACAAGAGAGCAUACAAACGCAUCCACAAACAUAAUGAAACUCCUCAGGAUAACGGCAUCGAUAUUGUUGAUAAGCUCUAUGGUCUCCUCACUGAUAAGAGCUACCUGGUAGUUCUCGGUGGCAUUUCCUCCAAGACUAUCCUGAAUUGUGUGCGGGCAAGCUUGCCAGACAACAAAAUAGGCAGUAGGGUGGUGCUCAUACUGGAACCUGAAUGUGAGGAAGUCGCGUGGCAUGCUGCUACCUUGAACCAGGAAGGUUAUGAGAGCAAGAGUAUCCACAGGCUGAGCCAUUUGGAUGAAGAUACAAGUGGAGAACUGUUCCGUUCGAGGGUCUUUGCCGAACAGGGAAAGCACAACAAGGACACCAAGGACAACAAGGGCAGCAAGUACACCAAGGACAACAAGAAUACCAAGGAGAAGACAUAUGAAGAAGAUGUGUUUGAUGUAACACAAGGCCACCCUUUGGGUAUAGUGGUUCUCGCUGGACUCUUACGAUACAAGGAGAAGCCCGUUGAGUGGGAUGCAGUGCUCCAGGAGCUCAGACCUGGAAUGGAGGAGGCAGAAGAUGGUCAAGACAACCCAAUAACAGGGCUUUUGUUGUUGAAGGAGAACCCAGGUGAGUGGAAGACCUUUCAGCAGCAGAUGACCACCGCAAGGGAAACAAAGCUGUCCAACAGAAUGGUGAUCGAGAGGAUCUUGUCGGCGAGCUUUGAUGACCUCCCUCAAGAUCUCAAGUCAUGCUUCCUCUACUUGGCCGCUUACCCCAUGAAUGUCUCCCUUUCUGCUGGUCAUAUCGUGCGGAUGUGGACGGCUGAGGGCUUCAUCAAGCCACGUAAGGGCAGGACUCUAGAGGAGUUGGGACACAGCUACCUCAAGGAGUUGGUCUCGAGAUGCCUGGUUGAGUUGGAAAGCCAGAACGCACAUGGUGGAAUCAAGACGGUCACUGUUCACAGCCGCCUCGUAAGGUUCCUGCAAUCAGAAGCUCGAGAGGCGAGCUUCAUUGAGGUUAGUGACAGAAAUGACAUCCUUGCGCCAGCAUCGGUGCGCCGCCUCUCAAUUCAGGAUGACAGCGGGACCUACACCACAUUCAGCAAUAAGUUCCCCAAGCUGCGGUCCUUCAUAUGCCGCGUUGCAGCAGGUAAUAGCCAAAGCAGUGACAAGUCCGAUCAGAGUAAGAAGGAACGACGUGAGUUCCCAUGCGGGCCCAGGCUCGCCUGUGUAGUCUCCAGUCCCGUCACAGAGGAGGUAGCAGGAGGCAGCAACCUGAAGAGCCAUGAUCUCAAGUUUCUGUGCUGGUCCAAGUUCCUUCGCUUAAUCUCUGUACAGGGUUUGAAACUCCAGGAGUUGCCCGAUGAGAUUGGUGACAUGAUUCACCUGCGGUACCUACGUGUUGAAUGCCCUGGUCUGAAGAAGCUCCCUCGCAGCAUUAGAAGGCUACUCAAUCUGCAGACGCUCGACAUAAGCAAGACCGCUGUCGUGGAGAUUCACCCGCAUUUCUGGAAGAUCAAAACGCUCCGGCAUGUGCUUGCAGAGAAGCUCACACUCCCAACAUCACUUGUGAACGAACUGGCUGAGCUACAGACUCUGCACGGUGUGGUGGCCGGUGAAGGGAAAUGGGACCAAGGAAGGUCUCCGCUGGACAAGAUGGCCAAGCUUCAGUCACUGGAGCUGCACGGGUUCAACGCUGCUAACAAUGGGUCUGCACUGGAGGGUGCUCUCACUAACAUGCAUCUCCUUGGGCACUUGAAGCUGGAAGGUGAUGGUAUCCCCUCAUGCUUGUUUACCGGGCCUAUCCUUCGAUGCCUCCAGACUAUGGAGCUAGAUGGCGCUGCGAAAUGGCCUGUGGUCAGAUGGGAUAUUGUUCGCAAGGUCCGCCCCAACCUGGUUGGGCUCAAGCUUAAGAAUAACAGCCAAGUGCCAAAGGAGUUGUUGGAUGAAAUGGAAGCACAGAAGCUGAUGCUGCUUUCUUGA